rnacentral:rRNA from 1 species
AGUCUUAACCGGGCGUUAAGUUGCAGGGUAUAGACCCGAAACCCGGUGAUCUAGCCAUGGGCAGGUUGAAGGUUGGGUAACACUAACUGGAGGACCGAACCGACUAAUGUUGAAAAAUUAGCGGAUGACCUGUGGCUGGGGGUGAAAGGCCAAUCAAACCGGGAGAUAGCUGGUUCUCCCCGAAAGCUAUUUAGGUAGCGCCUCGUGAAUUCAUCUCCGGGGGUAGAGCACUGUUUCGGCUAGGGGGCCAUCCCGGCUUACCAACCCGAUGCAAACUGCGAAUACCGGAGAAUGUUAUCACGGGAGACACACGGCGGGUGCUAACGUCCGUCGUGAAGAGGGAAACAACCCAGACCGCCAGCUAAGGUCCCAAAGUCAUGGUUAAGUGGGAAACGAUGUGGGAAGGCACAGACAGCCAGGAUGUUGGCUUAGAAGCAGCCAUCAUUUAAAGAAAGCGUAAUAGCUCACUGGUCGAGUCGGCCUGCGCGGAAGAUGUAACGGGGCUAAACCAUG